ensembl:lncRNA
UUUUUUUUUUUUUUUUAACUGUUGCACAACCAUAAAAGAUGUUCCAACAGACACUUGUGUAAAUAACCUGCCAAAAACCCCUAAAACUCUCUGUAUUUUGUAGAAAAAGUAAUAGGUAGCAGAAUUACUGUGGAAGUGUAACAGACACUGGAUGUGAUGUGGGAGUUGUAUAGUCAGGUGAAUUUAAUUCAGUGAUCUAGGGCAGACACAACAUACAAAUUUCCAGGAAUUCUCUGCUUAGUUCUCUUUUUGCAAAAAGGAAGACAGUCUUGCAUCUAUCUGUCUAAUCAUCAUCUUCAUAUCUUAUAUUUGGAUAAUUCAGAUUUUUGGACUCUAGCUAAGCACAAUGGAAAAGUCCAGGUAAAUUAAACACCUUUUCUCCUUCCCCUUUCACUCAGUUGUUUUUAUUUUGUUUUGCUUAAUGAGGUUCUGUUUCCAGACUCAAAAAAAGAAAUUAAAGGGCAGGGCAGGGCAGGGCAGGGCAGGGAAGGGAAGGGAAGGGAAGGGAAGGGAAGGGAAGGGAAGGGAAGGGAAGGGAAGGGAAGGGAAGGGAAGGGAAGGGAAGGGAAGGGAAGGGAAGGGAAGGGAAGGGAAGGGAAGGGAAGGGAAGGGAAGGGAAGGGAAGGGAAGGGAAGGGAAGGGAAGGGAAGGGAAGGGAAGGGAAGGGAAGGGAAGGGAAGAUGCAAGGUUGAAGGGGGAAAAAGAAGGAAGAAAAAUUCUAAAUUUGUCAUUCAAAAACCAUAUUCUGGAACUGUAAUGUAAGCAAAAAGACAAAAUUGAACUGAAUUAUAUAGUAAACAUUUUUUUUUUACAUUUUGUUUUGACUAAUGACAUUUUCAAUGCCUGAGAAGACCAAGGUGUGGUCUGGUUCAAGUAAUGCUAGGAAGUCCUACAGUAUGUCUGUAUGAUCUCUAUAUACAUAAUUUAGUAUAUGUAAAAUGGCAUCUCAAUCUCUUGUUCCAAAAUGUCUGUGAUUACUCAAUUACUGGAAAGAGAAAGAGGAGAAAAGAAGGGCAGACAUAAAUAAUGUAUUCUGAUGUAUAAAUUGAUUUUUACAGGCUUCCAAUCAAGCACAAGAUGUUUCAAAUUAUUUAUACCAUUGGAGGGAAUUCAGGUGCUAUCCAAGGGCCUAUGGGACAUUAAACCAAAUAUAUCAGAGAUACAGGCACUUCAAGAUGAGCUUCCUCUUCCUCACAGUAUACUUGUAUAUGAACACAGUGCCCCCAAAACUAUUUGAACUUACAGAUUCAUCUAAAACUUAUAAACUUACUUACCCAUUUUAUAUAACUGUAAGAAAAAUCUCUGGCUUUAUACAUAUAUAUAUAUUUUUUUUAAUAUAACCUAAAAAAUAUCAAGAUCUACAGCUUAAAAUGUUAGAGGUAAAAAUAAAGCAAGGAGCCUUCUAAAAUUUUGCUUUCUCUCAUUUGCAAAAAGAGAGAUUUUAACGGCUGAUUCAUAUUUUAUUUUCUUCUGUUUAUGCCAAAACUUGUAUACUUACUACGAAAAUAUGGUAGUCUGACCAAUAAGGUAAUAAUGUUAUUAGGCCUUACUCUUUUACUGUUCAGAAUACAAAACAAGAUAAAAAAAUACACUGUUAAGAAUUAUGUUAAAGAUAUACUACUAAUAAUUUAGAAGAAAAUAGACAGGAAAUUGAAUGUUUUUAGCUUAAUAUUGUCUGGUUUAGGCUUUUUAAAGAUCUCAGUUGAACAUCUGUAUUUGCCACAAAUCAGAAUUAAAAACCACAUAUGAAAUACAUGGAAGAACAGAACAUGCAAAAAUCAGCAAUCUUGUCAGCUCACAGGUGAGAAAAUACAGUAUUCACAGCUUUAACUCAAGCACAGAAAAACAAUCUGAAAAUGUAUUUUUAUAGAAAAACAAAUAAGGGAAUGAACUUGUUGAAUGAAUAAUAUUCAGCAAAAGAAUUUUAUUUGGUGCUUAAAUGAAAACAAAAAAGGUGAGACUGAGAAAAGAACUAAUCAAAGUACAGCUAGCUUCACCUUUGAAAAGCAGAGAAGGAUAUAAGAAUGCUCUAACAUAGAAAAGGAGAUUUAAAUAUAACAAUAUUGUGGCAGAGCACUGUAGUCUUAGAAUUUGACUGUAAGUCAAGAAUAUUUGAACCUAAUGUAAAAUACAAGCUUCAGUCUUCUAUGUGUUAAUUGAAAAGCUACUUCUGUCUGUCCAUUCUUUUGAAUUUUGAAUUCAAUGCAUAUCUGGUGAUGAAAAAUAAUAUGUAGUAAUAAGCCUCAUAAUGUCAUGGGGUAUGAAUAUUGGAUUAUUUUAUAAUGGUUUCUUACAGCAGGAAAAUAAAUUUUGGGAUUCUGUUUAACUGAUUGAAUUCCAUAAUCUGGUUUUUAACCAAAAUAAUUAUUGCAGCUCCAAUUACCUACUUUUCACAUCACAAAUUAUACUCAAAGUCAAGUAGAGAAGAUAUAAUAAAAGCUUCUGGUAAUAAAAGAAGGGUUUUGAAAAGGAAUUUGCACAUCAGCAAUAGCAGUCUUAGUGAAGCUGUGAUGUAUUGCUAAAAUAAAAUUGAACUAAAAAAUCCAAAACAUCAGCAAAAGUGAAUGGGUUCACAUUCUAAAUUUCUGUCUGGAAUUUCAGCUGAUUUUUUCUCUCUGAUAAACUUUAACACACUACAUCAUACAAAAGGCAGUGCAGGAUAUUCAUUCAGAAGGACAUCUGUUACCAAAAGACACUUCCCUCUGUCCCACAUGUUAAAUAACUUUAUUUAUCCUGAUAAUAUUUGACAAUUUUAUCACAUAUGGAGCUUUUUCAGCUUGUUCAGAUUAUUUGGACCUUUUUUACAUUUGACCUUCUUCUCUGCCACAGCCACUUCUAGGAUCAGAUGUAAUUUAUUAUCUUGAGGUAUUGGCACAACUUGCCUUCAUGGACCAAAAUUGUUUAUUUUCCUUUUUUUUUUCCUUGGAUAGUCUUUUUGUAACCAUCAAAUAUAGUGUUACAGGAGAAACAUAAAUUUCUUUCUUAAAGACUGCAGAAAUUUUCACUAAUCUCCCUCUGAACUAAUUUUUUUAAGGAUUGGACAACUGCCAGUACAGGAAAUCUCUCUAAAUCUUGCCCCUGCAUGUAGUAUGUGGUCCAAGCAAGACAUCAUAGCCCUUUUGUUUUCCAACAGCCUUCAAAAAAUUAUGUCUGUCCACCUUCUAGUGGAAGAUGUUGAUGGAAAAUAGUACCAUUAGAGCUGUUGAACCACAAAGUAAACAAUAAAUUUUGUUUACCCCCAUUUCUUCAGCUCUAACAUGCAGACUGUCCAUUUGGAAUCUCAUGUUAUAAUCUCACAAUGAUCUUAUUAUCAUCCAUAGCAAAUACUAUCAUUUAGUGUAUCAGAACAGAGUUAAAUGGACAGGUAGAGUAUAAUACAGAGAAAUCUCUCUUAUCACGGAAUCACAAAAUCACUGAAAAUUCUGAAGGACCAUUGAGCCCAACUCCUGGCCUUGCACAAAACAGCUCCAAAAGUCACAUCAUGUAUCCAAGAGCUUUGUCCAAAUGCUUCUUCUACUCUGUCAGGCUUGGUGCUGUGACCACUUUGCUGGGGAAAUUGUUGCAAUGCCCAAACACCCUCUGGGUGAAGAGCCUUGUUCCAGUAUCUAAACCCAAUUCCCCUGACAUAACUUCCAAUAGUAAAAGGUACCCUAGGUAUAGGUAAAAGAUAACUUAACUUAUAAUUAGGGUAGAAUAUUUAUUACUGUUCUGCAUUCUGGGUCUGUCAUGCUUUCUAUGCAACACAGUAAAAUUCAGUUAAAACACAUUUUAAGGACAAAUUCUGAAGCAGUGGUAGUCUCCCUUCCACUUCUAUGGAGCUGCCUUCCAGUAUAUUAGGUUUAGAAAUUUUUUUAAUGGCAUAACAAAGAAAUUUUCAGCCACAUAUAAUUCUAGUCAAUUGCUUAAGUUACUAAAGACCCGAUUUAGUCAAGACAACCAGCUGCCAAUUACAGAAUCUGUUUUGUCAGAAAUAGCAGUUUGGCUCCAUGAUAUUUGUACUCUAACUUGUGAAGAGGUUUGCUUUAAUGAAACUUUUUUUUUCGUUAAUCACAUUUAGUUUGAGAAGAAAAGCCUUCUUCAAAGACAUUUGACAGAGCAGCUGCUUUGGCAAAUCCCUGAUUUUUACUGGGAACUACUGUAUAAAGUUAUUCUUCACUUGCCUAAGUUUUCUUGAGUAAGUAUGACUAUUCAAUACACAGCAGUGCUUUGACCUGCAUAAGAUGGUGUACUUAGGCCUUUUUCUCAGACACCUAAUAAAGCCAUGUCACAGCCCUUUAGUGAUUCUAACAGGAAAAGUGCAAUCAAAUAACAUCAGAACAUACAACAAAUUAAAUAACAAGGUUUUGAAAAGAUAACUAUGAAUGUGUGACACAGAAAUUCACACACAAGAAAAUAUAAUUUGCACGAAUGUGCUUACAGAGGAUGGAAUUCAUCUACCUGAAGCACAUUUAGCUAGCAUUUAACAUGGCAUCAUGUUUCCAUGGCACACUGCACAGUCAAGUAGAUAAGGAGCGGCACCAUACCAAAAAUAUCACAUCUUAUUUUGGGAUCAAAUGUAUGAGACGGCCAUUGAGCAUUUUCAGAAAUAGAAAGCUUUGACUGAAAAAAUAUAAGUCAAUAGUGGGUAUGUCACCUCCGAUCAUCAGUUUUCUUCAAUUACUUUCUGAACUGGAUUGUGCAUAUGCAUCUACCUAGAUGUACUGUGAAAGUCCUACAAUUAGACGACAUCCCACAGAAAUGUGUGAUGUAAGAUUAAGAAAUGUAACCAUUUCUUAGUCUAGGCCUAUACUUUCUACAUAACAUUACAGGAAAAAUAUUUUUGUACAUGGGAGAUCAAAUUGACUGAGACACUAAACCCCUUCCAGCCUUGAAUGCAGACAGCACCUACAGAAACACGAUGCCAAUGUGAGUAGCUCAGGUGAAUGGAAGAGUGGGAGUAAUAAAGUCAAACAAGCCUCUUCCUAUGUAGCAGAGGUUCCCUCCGUCCACCACAAGAGAGCUUAUCUGUUGCCUGUUAGCUGGUGCAAUAAUUCAGAGCAUCUCCUCCUCACAUUAAUUUGUUAAUUGGUAAAAUAACACAAUCAGGAUAGCUUGUCUUGUAGUGAGUUAUUUUGGCACCAUGGAAGUGCCACUCCCAGCUGGCAAUACCUUGAAAGCAAGAUUGUAGGAAGAUAAGCUGGAAUUUCUCAGUGACACACAAUUCAGUUUACAAACUGUAAAUACUAUACCAAACUUUCACAAAACAGAAAGGUUCUUCACAUUCCCUGGAAGUGUAUGGGGAUGACUGUUCAAGGCUUGGGACAGCUGCCUUGACUUACUGUCUCCAGGGUUGAGUGAAAGGACCCUGUGUGCACCAUCAUCAAUUCAGCAGCAAGUUACAUUGACUCAUUAUCUGUACUAUUUCUGCGCUAGCAAUGGAUCUGUGCUAGCCUUUAUGUUGUUCAUUGUUUUAUGUAAUCUACUAGUAGUUAUUUCGCUUUAUACUGUGUAGUAAGUAACUCUGUUUAAGGCCUUUUUUCUGUUAAUCUUUUGUCUAUUAAAAAAAUAAUAAUUUUAUAACCUGAUCAGCCAUUCUUGAGAACUUGUGUACAUAACCUAAGUAGAACUGCUGCGAAAAUCAGAGUCUAAGGCAGGGCUUGUCUAAACCUCUCAUUCAAUCCACAAUAUCUUUUUGAGAAACACAGGCCCUCUUGAACUUGAAACCUAGUCUAUUACCUAUAUAUUAGGCUUUAUACAGUUCUGCAUCCUGGACUAAAUUCAUUGGUUGGGUUCUUUAAGAAAGGAAGAUGGCACUCCACAUGAGCAGAUGGACUAUAUUCUUUUUUUCCCCCUGGGAAUUCUAUUCAUAAAUCAAUAGCAAAAACUCAUUUAUUCCCACUGCACGCAAGUCCUCACUUAUCUCUUCCCACUGGAGAUAAGACCAGUGAAUUUGAAUUUUAAAUAAACAAUUAAUAAAGUAGAUUCACUUGUUUUGGGAAAUGAACUAGUUCAUUUCAUGUUGUUAUAAAAGUCACGACUAUCUGCAGUUUCUUAUUGGGUAAUCUAUUAAAAAAAUAAUAAAAGGGAACCUGGCAGAAGAAUAACGUAAGACAGCCAAUUUGUUAUAGCAGUACCAUGUCCUUGUCAGGAAAAUAGUUAUGUUUAAACCCUAACUAUUCAUUAUACAUCUAGCAUUUCAAGUACUCAUUUGUUCUGCACUUUUAUUGUAUGAAGAUACAGAACAAGGAGAUUAAUUAUAAGAUAGAAAGUUCUAUUUUAACAAAAACAUUAGGCAAAGUUCCAAAUUAGUAAGCAAACCUCCCAAGUCAUCAAAAAUAUACAGUAAAGUUCAAACACUGGCAGAUUUAAAUACAGAAAUUUUAAUCUGAAUGUUCUGUUUUUCAUCAGCCUAACAGCUGUGGGGCUGCCAAGAACUUAAAGUACUAAAAAUAUAUUUUAUCUAUUUAUUAUUAAAGGUAUUGUGAUUCCAUUUAUUAACUAAGCUGACAAAUAUCAGCUAAAACAAAUGCUUUCAACCUCAGUUUUCAGUCUCAUUACUGCAAGCACCUGACCACAGUAAGUAUGAACUGUACAUACUCAUGCAGCACUGAAUAGUCUAAAAGACAGUUCCAUUCCUCUAAAACAUCCUCCCCUUCAAAACAUACAACCCAAAAAAAAAAAAAAAAAA